GGGUGAGUAAUAUAUCGGAACGUGCCCAGUCGUGGGGGAUAACGCAGCGAAAGCUGUGCUAAUACCGCAUACGAUCUCUGGAUGAAAGCGGGGGACUCGCAAGAGCCUCGCGCGAUUGGAGCGGCCGAUAUCAGAUUAGCUAGUUGGCGGGGUAAAAGCCCACCAAGGCGACGAUCUGUAGCUGGUCUGAGAGGACGACCAGCCACACUGGAACUGAGACACGGUCCAGACUCCUACGGGAGGCAGCAGUGGGGAAUUUUGGACAAUGGGCGAAAGCCUGAUCCAGCAAUGCCGCGUGCAGGAUGAAGGCCUUCGGGUUGUAAACUGCUUUUGUACGGAACGAAACGGUCUGCCUUAAUACGGUGGGCUAAUGACGGUACAGUAAGAAUAAGCACCGGCUAACUACGUGCCAGCAGCCGCGGUAAUACGUAGGGUGCGAGCGUUAAUCGGAAUUACUGGGCGUAAAGCGUGCGCAGGCGGUUAUAUAAGACAGAUGUGAAAUCCCCGGGCUCAACCUGGGACCUGCAUUUGUGACUGUAUAGCUAGAGUACGGUAGAGGGGGAUGGAAUUCCGCGUGUAGCAGUGAAAUGCGUAGAUAUGCGGAGGAACACCGAUGGCGAAGGCAAUCCCCUGGACCUGUACUGACGC
rnacentral:rRNA from 1 species